rnacentral:sRNA from 1 species
CCGUCUCAAUUUGCUGUGGACAGAUGAAAUGGAUAUGGGCAUCGAUCCCGCCCGCUGUCACGAUUUUACCUUCACCCGCAAUGACUUCCGUGCUGGCACCUACGAUCAUCGAGGGAUGUACGCCAUCCAUAAUGUCCGGGUUCCCCGCUUUGCCGAUGCCAACAAUGUGACCGUCCCGGAUGCCGAUAUCCCCUUUGACAAUGCCCCAAUGGUCGAUGACAACGGCAUUCGUGAUCAAAGUAUCAAGAACGCCUUGAUCGCGUGUGGCGCCGCUGGAUUGCCCCAUGCCAUCGCGA